rnacentral:tRNA from 1 species
GCCCGGGUGGCGGAAUUGGUUUACGCGCACGACUUAAAAUCGUGUCCCGCAAGGGAUGUGGGUUCGAGUCCCACCUCGGGCACCA